rnacentral:rRNA from 1 species
CCCUUAGAUGUUCUGGGCCGCACGCGCGCUACACUGAUGCAUUCAACGAGUUUCUUCCUGGUCCGAGAGGAAUGGGUAACCUUUUGAAAGUGCAUCGUGAUAGGGAUAGACUAUUGCGAUUAUUGGUCUUCAACGAGGAAUUCCUAGUAGACGUAGUUCAUCAGACUGCAUCGAUUACGUCCCUGCCCUUUGUACACACCGCCCGUCGCUCCUACCGAUUGAAUGCUCAGGUGAGCCAUUCGGACUUUCAUCAUGCUGGUUUCCAGUUUUGAUGAAGGAAAGUCUUGCGAACCUUAUCAUUUAGAGGAAGGAGAAGUCGUAACA